UUCUAUAAUGAACACACAUUACUUUUCUACUAGGAGAAAUGAAGUCAAUAACAUAUGCUGUAAAAAAGGAGCUGAAAUGCCAUUUGUUUCUCCUGUUCAGGGCACCAGCUGAGAGACAGAAUUUUUGGAAGAACUUAGGAAAGAAACUAAGAAAAGACAACAGCACACAGCAACAAGCAGUCAUCCGGGCCUCUCAUGUCACCGAGAACAUUAUGGUGGGCGCCUGUGAGCUCUUCCUGACCACCCAAGACUUCUAGGAUGCUUUCCCGACCACCCUGCUCCACCCAGGGCAGAGUUGCCAACUCCUUGAUGCCUCCUGUGUUGCAAUCCCAGUCAGAUGAGGUCCCAGGGCCCCAGGGUGGGCGGCGGCUCACCGUAGCCGUGCUCGUACUCUCGG
rnacentral:lncRNA from 10 species